rnacentral:tRNA from 1 species
UGGAGUUGUGGCUCAGUAGUAGAGCACUUGCCUAGCAUGUGUGAGGCACUGGGUUCAAUUCUCAGCACUGCAA